rnacentral:rRNA from 1 species
UACGGAGGAUGCGAGCGUUAUCCGGAUUUAUUGGGUUUAAAGGGUGCGUAGGCGGAUCGUUAAGUCAGUGGUCAAAUUGAGGGGCUCAACCCCUUCCCGCCAUUGAAACUGGCGAUCUUGAGUGGAAGAGAAGUAUGCGGAAUGCGUGGUGUAGCGGUGAAAUGCAUAGAUAUCACGCAGAACCCCGAUUGCGAAGGCAGAAUGCCGGCUUCCUACUGACGCUGAAGCACGAAAGCGUGGGUAGCAAACAGG